GUGCUCGCUUCGGCAGCACACAUACUAAAAUUGGAAUGAUACAGAGAUUAGCAUGGCCUCUGCACAAGGAUGACACGCAAAUUCGUUAAGUGUUCCAUAAAAAA
rnacentral:snRNA from 1 species